rnacentral:lncRNA from 1 species
AGACAAUGUGACCCAAGUAGAUGCCAUUUAGCGAACUAAUUUACUCUGGAUUUUGAUAUGGUGGAGACUAUUUUAGUAAUCAGUGAUGCUCCCUGCAAAAAUCAUCACCCAAAGGCCCCUGGAGUCAGCAGGAAAACUCUUCCUCAACUUCUGUGAUCAGAAACAACAGGAUGGCACUGGGACCUGAACUCUGACUCUGCUGUUUCUGCUGCUCUGGUUGCUGAUGCUGCUCUUUCGCAGCAGCUGAGCUGGAUCCAGAUGGAAGUGUCAUCUGUUGUGUAUCCAGAGGCAUUUUACUCAUCCAUCAGAGCUGCAGUAGCUGCUUAUUGGUGUUCAGAAAUCCAGAUGAAGCUGUGAGAGAACAGGAGCCCACGUGGGAAGUGUGAACCAGAAAGCUGAAAUUACAGCAGCUGGAUUUUGGCCAGAAACACUAAGACUAAAAACUGAAUUCUGAGAGAGCUGCUGAGACCUUAAGUGGCAGUCACAGGCAGGAUGUUUGUUUUCCAUCUCCUCCAGAGGACGGCACAUCCAACAGCACUUUCCCAUCUUUAAGACCAGGCUGAGACCUUUGUUCAGGACUGACUCAGAGGAAAGGGUGCCACUCAAUGAAUCACUGCUUGACUUCCCUCAGUCUGGGGGUAUUCCUUUGAGACCUCAAAGCUCGCUCCAGAGCCAUCCUGCUUGAUGAAUGGGAAGUACUCUGAUGAACACAUGGAGAACGUUGCUGCAGGCCCAGCGCUCUGAAAGUGUGUAUACUGCCCAAGGCCUGCUCCAGAAAAUGAAUUCACAUAUGCUUAACUCUACACUUCGGAGGCAUAAUCCCAUUAAUUUAAAUGGGAUUACUCCUGGGCUUAAAUUCCUGCAGGAUCAGCACUGAGCUCUGUGGCUGCAGCUGCCAGUUGCACAAUGAAUGGUGUAACAAGAGCGUUGCUCAUUCAGGGUUGUUGCUGCCCCACUGUUUUGGAUUUGGAGGCUCUUGGCUCUCCCAUGUGCUUGAAACUUGGGGAACACCUAGGAGGCCCCACUGGUUGAACAUUCCCAUUGCUCAUAUACUCAAAAGUGAAACCUCAAUUCUAAGAUCUCCUGAAUAUAAGCUUUAUUUAAUCUCCCCUUACCUGCAAAGCUAUUUCAAGUCUUCUAUGGACUCUACCUCUAUGUAAACCCCAGGCUUCAUGGAUGGUUUUUGUGUCUG